rnacentral:rRNA from 1 species
GGACCCGCACAAGCGGUGGAGCAUGUGGUUUAAUUCGAUGCAACGCGAAAAACCUUACCUACUCUUGACAUACUUGGAAGCUCUUGUAAUGAGAGUGUGCCUUUUGGAACCAAGAUACAGGUGCUGCAUGGCUGUCGUCAGCUCGUGUCGUGAGAUGUUCCGUUAAGUCGGAUAACGAGCGCAACCCUUACCCUUAUUUGCCAGCGAUUCGGUCGGGAACUAUAAGGGGACUGCCGGUGAUAAACCGGAGGAAGGUGAGGACGACGUCAAGUCAUCAUGGCCCUUACGAGUAGGGCUACACACGUGCUACAAUGGGGAAUACAGACGGACGCUAAGCCGCGAGGUGGUGCUAAUCCCAAAAAGUCGUUCUCAGUUCGGAUUGCAGGCUGCAACUCGCCUGCAUGAAGUUGGAAUC